UACGAAGGGGGCUAGCGUUGCUCGGAAUUACUGGGCGUAAAGCGCACGUAGGCGGCUCUUUAAGUCGGGGGUGAAAUCCUGGAGCUCAACUCCAGAACUGCCUUCGAUACUGAAGAGCUCGAGUCCGGGAGAGGUGAGUGGAACUGCGAGUGUAGAGGUGAAAUUCGUAGAUAUUCGCAAGAACACCGGUGGCGAAGGCGGCCAACUGGUCCGGAUCUGACGCUGAGGCGCGAAAGCUAGGGGAGCAAACAGG
rnacentral:rRNA from 1 species